AUUGAACGCUGGAGGCGUGCUUAACACAUGCAAGUCGUGCGAGAAAGGGACUUCGGUCCUGAGUAGAGCGGCGCACGGGUGAGUAACGCGUGGGUGAUCUCCCUUGGUGAUCGGGAUAACAGCGGGAAACUGCUGCUAAUACCGGAUAAUCUUCAUGUUUAACUUCAUGGGGUAAAGGUGGCCUCUGCUUGCAAGCUACCACAUCAAGAUGAGCCCGCGUCUCAUUAGCUAGUUGGUAGGGUAAUGGCCUACCAAGGCUACGAUGAGUAGCUGGUCUGAGAGGAUGACCAGCCACACUGGGACUGGAACACGGCCCAGACUCCUACGGGAGGCAGCAGUGGGGAAUAUUGCGCAAUGGGCGAAAGCCUGACGCAGCGACGCCUCGUGAGGGAUGAAGGUCUUCGGAUCGUAAACCUCUGUCAAGAGGGAAGAAACCCUUGGAUUCGAAUAGGGUCCUUGGCUGACGGUACCUCAAAAGGAAGCACCGG
rnacentral:rRNA from 1 species